rnacentral:rRNA from 1 species
CAGCAGCCGCGGUAAUACGUAGGUGGCAAGCGUUGUCCGGAAUUAUUGGGCGUAAAGGGCUCGCAGGCGGUUUCUUAAGUCUGAUGUGAAAGCCCCCGGCUCAACCGGGGAGGGUCAUUGGAAACUGGGAAACUUGUGUGCAGAAGAGGAGAGUGGAAUUCCACGUGUAGCGGUGAAAUGCGUUGAGAUGUGGAGGAACACCAGUGGCGAAGGCGACUCUCUGGUCUGUAACUGACGCUGAGGAGCGAAAGCGUGGGGAGCGAACAGGAUUAGAUACCCCCGUAGUCCCUGUCUCUUAUAA